CUGUUGAAGCAGAUCAAAAACUCCGCUGAGUCGCACAUCGUGCUGGACUGUACGAUCGAGAAGAUCUACGAGGUGCUCAAGCAAGCUCAACAGAUUGGGAUGAUGAGCGAUUAUCAUAGCUAUCUGAUCACGUCACUGGACCUGCACACCAUCAGCCUGGACGAGUUCAAAUACGGCGGCACCAACAUCACGGCCUUCCGCCUGGUGGACCCGGAAAACCCGGAAGUCGCCCAAGCCAUCCACAGCUGGACUCAGGGCGAAGCCCGUCUGGGAAAACGGAUCGACUUCAAAACCACGGAAAACGUGACCGUUAUUAAGGCGGAAACGGCCCUGAUGUACGAUGCGGUGCACUUGUUCGCCAAAGCGUUGCACGAUCUGGACACCAGCCAGCAGAUUGACAUCCACCCGCUCUCUUGCGAUACCCAGGACACCUGGCCGCACGGUUACAGUUUGAUCAAUUACAUGAAAAUCGUGGAAAUGCGCGGCCUAACGGACGUCAUCAAAUUCGACCAUCAGGGCUUCCGGUCCGAUUUUGUGCUGGACAUCGUGGAGCUCGGGCCACAAGGUUUGCGUAAAUCCGGUACCUGGAAUUCGACUUCCGGUGUCAACUUCACCCGGACCUAUGGAGAGCAGCAGAAGGAAAUUGUGGAAAUUCUGCAGAACAAAACGCUGAUUGUGACGACAAUUUUGAGUUCGCCCUACUGUAUGCGGAAGGAUUCGGCCGAGAAGUUGACGGGCAAUUCCCAGUUCGAGGGGUAUGCCAUCGAUUUGAUUCAUGAGAUUUCGAGGAUACUGGGAUUCAACUAUAGUAUCCGGCUGGCGCCGGAUGGGAAAUACGGAGGUCUCAGCAAGGAAACUGGCGAAUGGGACGGCAUGAUCAAGGAGCUGUUGGAGCAGCGGGCGGACCUCGCAAUCGCCGACCUCACCAUCACCUUCGAGCGGGAACAGGUGGUGGACUUCACGAUGCCAUUCAUGAACCUGGGCAUCUCGGUGCUGUACCGGAAACCAGUCAAACAACCACCGAAUCUGUUCUCGUUCCUGUCGCCCCUGUCGCUGGACGUGUGGAUCUACAUGGCCACGGCCUAUCUCGGCGUCUCGGUGCUGCUCUUCAUCCUGGCACGGUUCACCCCAUACGAGUGGCCGACGCCGAAUCCCUGUGAUCCCCAUCCGGAGAAGCUGCAGACCCAGUUUACCCUGAUGAAUUGUAUGUGGUUCGCGAUCGGAUCCCUGAUGCAACAGGGUUGCGACUUUCUGCCCAAAGCCGUAUCGACGCGAAUGGUCGCCGGAAUGUGGUGGUUCUUUACCCUGAUCAUGAUCAGUUCGUACACUGCCAACUUGGCCGCUUUCCUGACAGUCGAAAGGAUGGAUUCGCCCAUCGAAAGUGCCGAAGAUUUGGCCAAGCAAACCAAAAUCAAGUACGGAGCCCUGAAAGGUGGCAGCACGGCUUCCUUCUUUAGGGAUUCAAACUUCUCCACCUAUCAGCGGAUGUGGUCCUUCAUGGAGUCGACGAGGCCGUCCGUUUUCACGUUUUCGAACGUCGAGGGUGUCGAUAGGGUUGUCAAGGGUAAAGGAAGCUACGCGUUUCUAAUGGAAUCGACCUCGAUCGAGUACGUCAUCGAGAGGAACUGCGAGCUGACCCAGGUCGGUGGGUUGUUGGACUCGAAGGGUUACGGAAUUGCGAUGCCACCGAAUUCCCCAUUCCGAACGGCCAUCAGUGGGGCUGUACUAAAGCUGCAAGAAGAAGGCAAACUACACAUUUUGAAAACUCGCUGGUGGAAGGAGAAGCGAGGCGGAGGAUCUUGUAGGGAUGAGACCUCCAAAUCGAGUUCCACCGCCAACGAGCUGGGCCUGGCCAAUGUAGGGGGCGUGUUCGUGGUGCUGAUGGGCGGCAUGGGCGUGGCUUGCGUAAUAGCUGUGUGCGAGUUUGUGUGGAAGUCCCGGAAAGUGGCCGUCGAAGAACGGGAACCCUACCAAAAGAAACAUCCCAAAGAGUGUAGGUUCGAGUGAGAUACGACAAACUUAGGAUUUCACCCACUAUAGGGCCCUUCCGGUUGUACAAAACACUUAGUUGAGUUGAGCGAGGAAAAAACGAAAAUCCUGUAGGACCAACAAUAGAAAAAAACGUGGAAGAAUCGGUUUAACUUUGGACUUCAACCUUAAUCAACAAACAAAAAAAUAUAUAUACAAAAACGAAUAGGACACACAAUUUUAGAAUUUCAGGAUUUUUUAUUCUUCAAACUCACUGUGUAAAUUCACACUGAUCAAAAGGGAACGAAAGAGAAAUUGAGUUUUCCAUCAUCCCCCUAAUUAAGGUUUUCAUGCUUAGUUUAGACAAUUCGGUAUGAGGAUAGCAAAUCAAAUGCGAAAUAGGUAUACUAGCGUAAAAGUUUUGUACAUAAAUCACUGUGAAGAUAGAAUCUCUUUAUAAAUUCCUAGAGUAGAUUAAAAGUUGUAUUAUUGCUGUUCCGACUGAAUCAAAAAGCCAAACACUCCUACUAAACAUAAAACUUUUGUGCCAAUUUGUGAAGUUUGUGUACCACCUCCAUUAAGCUUAAUAUAAGAUAAAGAAAAACUUACUUUUAAGUCAAACGCUCCGACUACAUUCUAAGCUUUUCCGACUCUUCCCUCCCCAAAAAACACAACACAGAAACAACAGCUUUACUAGAACCCGAACUGAACCCCGAACGAAAACCGACACACGAAUACACCAAAAACUCCCGAAAAUUCACCACUACUCACCACAACCCUAGAAAACAACAAACAAUACAAAACAAAACCAAACACACAAAAAAAACAAAUCAAAUCCUUCUGUUUCGUAGUAAAACACACCAAACCAAAAUGUAUUGUGUGGCGAUUUUUCUUCUCUUCUUCAAUCAACGUCCAACCAUACCAACAACAUCUUCAACAACAACAACAACAAUCUACUACUUCAAAAAAUAAUAUCAACAAUCAUCAAACAAAACUGACACCCAAACAACUGGAUGAUUUCAAAAUAAAACAAAAAAACGAACAUAACCAAUCCGAAAUGUCAUCGGAAAUUCGGCCAUCGGGGGAAAUGCAUCGUGGCAUCGGAUGGAUGGAUGAAUUUCUUUAUUCCUUAGGAAAUUUCCCUCUGCUCGGAGAUGGCAUCGGAGCUGCGGUUCGCGUUGAAACGUAAUCGAUCGUCCCAGAAAAACGUGGCCACCAGUCACAACACCACUCUGAGCUCCCGGGCCUCUCCAAAAGAUUCCGAACCAUCGUCCGAAC